GACCUCAAAUCAAGUAGGACUACCCGCUGAACUUAAGCAUAUCAAUAAGCGGAGGAA
rnacentral:rRNA from 1 species